rnacentral:lncRNA from 1 species
UAAGUGAAAAACAAUUUGUUCUGAUUCAUAUUGUGUGAGUCCUGUUUAUCAUAUCAUGUAUGUUUUGCAUGCCUUUGAGGUCCGAGACAUCGCCAUUAUAUUCGCCUCGCCGUCCGUAGUAUAAACUUUUAAAAUUUGUUUAAAAGUAUUUUUGAAUGGAGAUCUGACUACUCAUUUCAUCUUAAAUCUGUUGUUGUGGUUACUAAUUUAUUGUUGUUACUGAAUUUGAGUUCAUGGUUAUGCGUUGGUUUUGUCAUGGUGAGGAAGAUCGUUGUUAAUUUUCAUAUUGUGUAUUCAUUUAUUAGUUGGUAAUUACUUGUAUUCACCAACUUCUGGUUCCAAUUGCAUGUGUAUUUACGAAGGAAAGUGAUGUUGCUGCUUUCACUAUCAGUGUAGUUGAUGACCCCUGGACUUUGAAUAAAGUGUUGUAGUUGAGACCCCUUGAAAAUGUUUAUGAACUGGUUGAGUCAUGUUAUGGGAAACAAAAUAAUGAGGUAAAAUUGAAAUCACGAUAGUAGUGGUUUUUCUUAUUGCUUAUUGGAUGAGUAAUAGUCUUGCUGCUGGAGUUUUUAUGCCAGUAGUGAAAGAUAGUAAAAGCCUUUGGAUAAAAAAUGGAAAAGUCUAUUUUCGGAUCUUUUAAGCCUUUACUGUUGAAUUUUGGUGUUGGAGAAGUCUGAAAGUCGGCAACAUCAUCUAGGUAAUGGAUUGAAUUCCACAAAUUUAUAGGUAAUAUGAGACUUUAACCACUCACUUAAAUUUAACAAGGUGAACAGAAAAAUCUGGCCUCCUUGGUAUGUCUUUUGUAGGCAACUUAUAAGAACAUGAUCCUCCAAUGGAGCCAAAGGUAUUCAUGUUCUGAUUUUGACCAAUUUUGUUUAUUCCAUUUCAUUUUAUAAUCUCCUCCACGCGAUCUCUCCCCCGCACCCAUCAGAUCGCCUUUUUGAGCUUGUCGGUGACCUCCUUCUUCCUUCUUCACAGUGAGGACCUACGGCCACCACACUAUAGGUCCUUCUUCUUCUUUCACAUUUUCUCCUACCACGGAAGCAAAGAUCCACUCACGAUAGGAGAGAAAUCCAAUGAUAUUGUCCAACUUAUAAUCAUCUUUGAACUUUUUUGGUAUUGCCAACUGGGCAUCAUAACGAAAUUGUGGUUGAUAAGGUAUACACUUAUUUGUAUGAGAUGCAAGUUAUAUUAAUUUGAUUAAUUAGCACAGUUUCAUAAUAAACCACUCUUUAGACGUGGAAAUUAGCAUGUACAUAACUCAUGGAUAUAUAUCAUUAUAACAUCAUGACAGGUUUGAGAGAGGUUGUAUAAACUUUUCAAGUCUUAACCUGUGAUGAUCCAUUUCCAUUUUAUUUUCAAUGAGGAUCGAGGUAUCUGAUAUAAGCGAAAAAUAACCAUCAAGCCAAUUUAAUCUUGCAGAGAGCCAUAAAAGAAGAGCGG